ACAGAAAGUAAGAGACAUUGGAUGAAACAGAAACCUUUUGUAGCCAACAGAACUAAAAGCUCUGAAUUUCCUCCCUCCUAUUCUUAUUCU